UUCAAGGACCAGUUUCUAAAAUCUGUGUGCCCACAAAGUAUGCCAAUCGAAUGCUGCCUUGUCAUAGAAUCAAACUAAGCACUCGUGAUGAUCCCGCCUCUGGUCAAUGCUCUUCCAAGAAAAAUACACCAGUAAUUUCACGAGAAGGGUUGAAUCAGCUGAGUUUCUUCAUCUUUGUGCUGGCCGCUAUGCAAAUUGUAUUUAGCCUUGCCACUAUGGGCCUUGGUAGGGCUAAGAUGAGGAGAUGGGAAUCUUGGGAGAAGGAAACACAGACGGUGGAGUACCU